rnacentral:rRNA from 1 species
AUUGAACGCUGGCGGCAUGCUUUACACAUGCAAGUCGAACGGUAACAGGCCGCAAGGUGCUGACGAGUGGCGAACGGGUGAGUAAUGCAUCGGAACGUGCCCAGUCGUGGGGGAUAACGCAGCGAAAGCUGCGCUAAUACCGCAUACGAUCUAUGGAUGAAAGCGGGGGACCGUAAGGCCUCGCGCGAUUGGAGCGGCCGAUGUCAGAUUAGGUAGUUGGUGGGGUAAAGGCUCACCAAGCCAACGAUCUGUAGCUGGUCUGAGAGGACGACCAGCCACACUGGGACUGAGACACGGCCCCGACUCCUACGGGAGGCAGCAGUGGGGAAUUUUGGACAAUGGGCGCAAGCCUGAUCCAGCAAUGCCGCGUGCAGGAAGAAGGCCUUCGGGUUGUAAACUGCUUUUGUACGGAACGAAAAGGCUCUGGCUAAUACCUGGGGCUCAUGACGGUACCGUAAGAAUAAGCACCGGCUAACUACGUGCCAGCAGCCGCGGUAAAAC